GAGUUUGAUCCUGGCUCAGAACGUACGCUGGCGGCACGCCUAACACAUGCAAGUCGAACGAAGUAGCAAUACUUAGUGGCAGACGGGUGAGUAACAUGUAGGUAUCUGCCCUUUGGCCUGGAAUAACACGAGGAAACUUGUGCUAAUAUCGGAUAAGUCUUUACGGAGAAAGCUUUAUGCACCAUUGGAUGAGCCUGCACUUGAUUAGUUUGUUGGUGGGGUAAUGGCCUACCAAGACUGUGAUCAAUAGCUGAUUUGAGAGGAUGAUCAGCCACAUUGGGACUGAGACACGGCCCAAACUCCUACGGGAGGCAGCAGUGGGGAACCUUGCACAAUGGAGGAAACUCCGAUGCAGCGAUGCCGCGUGAGUGAAGAAGGCCCUUGGGUUGUAAAGCUCUUUCGUCGGGGAAGAAAAUGACUGUACCCGAAUAAGAAGGUCCGGCUAACUUCGUGCCAGCAGCCGCGGUAAUACGAAGGGACCUAGCGUAGUUCGGAAUUACUGGGCUUAAAGAGUUCGUAGGUGGUUGAAAAAGUUAGUGGUGAAAUCCCAGAGCUUAACUCUGGAACUGCCAUUAAAACUUUUCAGCUAGAGUAUGAUAGAGGAAAGCAGAAUUUCUAGUGUAGAGGUGAAAUUCGUAGAUAUUAGAAAGAAUACCAAUUGCGAAGGCAGCUUUCUGGAUCAUUACUGACACUGAGGAACGAAAGCAUGGGUAGCGAAGAGGAUUAGAUACCCUCGUAGUCCAUGCCGUAAACGAUGUGUGUUAGACGUUGGAAAUUUAUUUUCAGUGUCGCAGGGAAACCGAUAAACACACCGCCUGGGGAGUACGACCGCAAGGUUAAAGCUCAAAUGAAUUGACGGGGACCCGCACAAGUAGUGGAGCAUGUGGUUUAAUUCGAAGAUACGCGCAGAACCUUACCAACACUUGACAUGUUCGUCGCGACUCUAAGAGAUUAGAGUUUUCGGUUCGGCCGGACGAAACACAGGUGCUGCAUGGCUGUCGUCAGCUCGUGUCGUGAGAUGUUGGGUUAAGUCCCGCAACGAGCGCAACCCUCACUUUUAGUUGCCAUCAUUAAGUUGGGCACUCUGAAAGAACUGCCAGUGAUAAGCUGGAGGAAGGUGGGGAUGACGUCAAGUCCUCAUGGCCCUUACGUGUUGGGCUACACACGUGCUACAAUGGUAUCUACAACAGGAAGCAAGACUGCGAAGUUAAGCAAAUCCCUAAAAGAUACCUCAGUUCGGAUUGCACUCUGCAACUCGAGUGCAUGAAGCUGGAAUUACUAGUAAUCGUGGAUCAGCGUGCCACGGUGAAUGCGUUCCCGGGUCUUGCACUCACCGCCCGUC
rnacentral:rRNA from 1 species